UCUGCCCCUCAAAUGACAGCUGCGGCUUUUGAGCCGCAGCUGCCAUUUGAGGGGCAGAAAGGCUGUUUUUGGCCUUCUCCUCUGCUGCGUGGGCCUGCAAGGCAGCAAA